rnacentral:rRNA from 1 species
AACGUAGGUACCGAGCGUUAUCCGGAUUUACUGGGCUUAAAGCGUGUGUAGGUGGAUCGGUAAGUACCUUGUGAAAUCCCACGGCUUAACCGUGGAACUGCUUGGUAUACUGCCAGUCUUGAGCCAGCUAGGGGCUACCGGAACAAAUGGUGGAGCGGUGAAAUGCGUAGAUAUCAUUUGGAACGCCAAUGGUGAAAACAGGUAGCUGGGGCUGUGCUGACACUGAGACACGAAAGCCAGGGGAGCAAACGGG